rnacentral:rRNA from 1 species
UACGGAGGGAGCUAGCGUUGUUCGGAAUUACUGGGCGUAAAGCGCACGUAGGCGGCUAUUCAAGUCAGAGGUGAAAGCCCGGGGCUCAACCCCGGAACUGCCUUUGAUACUGAGAAGCUUGAGUCCGGGAGAGGUGAGUGGAACUGCGAGUGUAGAGGUGAAAUUCGUAGAAUAUUCGCAAGAACACCAGUGGCGAAGGCGGCUCACUGGCCCGGUACUGACGCUGAGGUGCGAAAGCGUGGGAGCAAACAGG